CAUUGAAACACAGGUUCUCAUACGAUCACCAAAGUUAAGCAGCGUUGAGCCUGGUUAGUACCGAGAGUGACCAUUUGGGAAUACCAAGUGUUG